CUUCUGUAUUGUGCAUUGUCUACUCUGACUCUACAAAGAAUGAGGACCAAUAAGUCUUCUCAUGUAUUUGUUACCUUCUUCCUCACAGGUUAUUUUUUAUCUUGGUCAGUGGUCGGAAAUUUUAUAACUGCAGAAAGUCCCUAUGUGGAGGCUAAACCCGAGGAAUCGGUAACAAUAACCUGUAACUAUUCAACUAGCAGCUCUGGCCCAUAUCUGUUCUGGUAUCGUCAGUACCCCCACCAAAUACAGUAUAUACUCUACCGGGGAGGCGAGAGCUAUGCUAAACUCACACAUGAUAACCCAGAUCUGGAGUCUGAUAAAUUCCAGUCACAGACCAGCGAUACAACCACCUCUCUAUCCAUCUCCAGCCUGACAGCAGCUGAUUCUGCCGUGUACUUGUGUGCUCUCCGUGAUGGUGCACAGUGGUGA